rnacentral:rRNA from 1 species
UACGAAGGGGGGCUAGCGUUGCUCGGAAUUACUGGGCGUAAAGGGCGCGUAGGCGGCGGAUCAAGUCAGGCGUGAAAUUCCUGGGCUUAACCUGGGGGCUGCGCUUGAUACGGCAGAGCUAGAGGAUGGAAGAGGCUCGCGGAAUUCCCAGUGUAGAGGUGAAAUUCGUAGAUAUUGGGAAGAACACCGGUGGCGAAGGCGGCGAGCUGGUCCAUUACUGACGCUGAGGCGCGACAGCGUGGGGAGCAAACAGG